UAUUGUAUGCCGAUUGCCGAAACGUGCUCGGCAAAGUCUCUGUCUUUAUAUUAGUUAUCUUCGUUGGUGUUUGUCGGUAGUGAGCCGUCGAAAUUUCGGUUGCAUUUAGAACGAUUGUCCCAUGGGCCAUGUUCGAGUUAGCUGGAGAAACUCUAGAAGAUUGAUUAGUCAUGUCGGAAUGACCAAACUAGAUAUCUUGCAGAUAAUCGGGAAAUGGCGCGAUACUGCCUGAAGAUAGUCACUUUUAUAAGGUUCGUUGGCGUAACUCUGGAGAUCCUAGGCUUAUCGCAGGAAUUUUUAAAAUUCCAUGUGUCUUAAAAUACUCGUCAAAUGGCACAUUGCAUGAAGAUGAAGUAAGUGGAAUUUUGCACUCAAGUUUUAGAGGAG